rnacentral:rRNA from 1 species
UGCUGUUAAAAAGCUCGUAGUUGGAUCAAGAGUUGGACAGUGCAAGGUGGCCUCGUUGACUGCGUGGUUCCGAUCACAAGGAAAGCGGCGGAUCAACCCCUUGCAUCAAACUGUCCACUCUAACAGGCCGAAGCGGUGCCCUGUGAGUAAGCUCCUUCAUUGGGGCUGAAAGCGCCUUCGCAUCUACCAUAUGCAUACGGGCCGUCGGCCAAUGUUACUGUGAACAAACCAGCGUGUUCAAAGCAGGCUUUCGCCUGAACGUUCGAGCAUGGAAUAACAAGGGAUCGAUUCUCUCGGUUCUUUUUGUUGGUUUUUAACCCGAGAAGGAGUAAUUCAGGUCACGGUGUCUGAGCCAGGUACCCCUUCGCCCAGGCGGAGGCCCUGGUUAGGCCGUGGCCUUACGGGACUAAUAGGGACGGACGGGGUCGUACGUACUUCCACGUCAGAGGUGAAAUUCUUAGAUCGUGGGAAGACGAACUUCUGCGAAAGCAUUCGACAAGAACGCCUUCAUUAAUCAAGAACGAGAGUGUGGGGAUCAAGAAUGAUCAAAUACGUC